UCUGAUUUGUUUGAGCAAUGGAGGGACGCAGGAGGCUAACGAUGCGCACUAUCGGAUGUGCGUCCAAGCAGCAAGUCUGUCGGCGAGUCAAAUGCUUGCCGGCUCAAGGACAAGCUGUGACGGGUAUGAACGAUUUAUCGUUCUAAGUGAGUGACGUCACACUGCCAAGAAAAGCUUCUAGUUAGAAUCAGACCGCCCGUACCGCAAACCGACACAGGUAGUCGGGUCGAGAAGACCAAGGUGAGCGAGAGAACUCUCGUUAAGGAACUCGGCAAAAUGACCCCGUAACUUCGGGAGAAGGGGUGCUGAUCGCAAGAUCAGCCGCAGUGAAUAGGCCCAGGCGACUGUUUAUCAAAAACACAGGUUUCUGCAAAAUCGUAAGAUGAAGUAUAGGGGCUGACGCCUGCCCGGUGCUGGAAGGUUAAGAGGAUGGGUUAGCGCAAGCGAAGCUCAGAAUUGAAGCCCCAGUAAACGGCGGCCGUAACAAUAACGGUCCUAAGGUAGCGAAAUUCCUUGUCGGGUAAGUUCCGACCCGCACGAAAGGCGUAACGAUCUGGGCACUGUCUCAACGAGAGACUCGGUGAAAUUAUAAUACCCGUGAAGAUGCGGGUUACCCGCGACAGGACGGAAAGACCCCAUGGAGCUUUACUGUAGCUUGAUAUUGGGUGUUUGUACAACUUGUACAGGAUAGGUAGGAGCCGUAGAAGUCGGGACGCUAGUUUCGACGGAGGCAUCGGUGGGAUACUACCCUCGUUGUAUGAACACUCUAACCCACGCCGGCAAUCACGGCGGGAGACAGUGUCAGGUGGGCAGUUUGACUGGGGCGGUCGCCUCCUAAAAGGUAACGGAGGCGCCCAAAGGUUCCCUCAGAAUGGUUGGAAAUCAUUCGCAGAGUGUAAAGGCAUAAGGGAGCUUGACUGCGAGACCUACAAGUCGAGCAGGGACGAAAGUCGGGCUUAGUGAUCCGGUGGUUCCGCAUGGAAGGGCCAUCGCUCAACGGAUAAAAGCUACCCUGGGGAUAACAGGCUUAUCUCCCCCAAGAGUCCACAUCGACGGGGAGGUUUGGCACCUCGAUGUCGGCUCAUCGCAUCCUGGGGCUGUAGUCGGUCCCAAGGGUUGGGCUGUUCGCCCAUUAAAGCGGUACGCGAGCUGGGUUCAGAACGUCGUGAGACAGUUCGGUCCCUAUCCGUCGCGGGCGCAGGAAAUUUGAGAGGAUCUGUCCUUAGUACGAGAGGACCGGGAUGGACAUACCGCUGGUGUACCAGUUGUUCUGCCAAGGGCAUCGCUGGGUAGCUAUGUAUGGAUGAGAUAAACGCUGAAAGCAUCUAAGUGCGAAACUCACCUCGAGAUGAGAUUUCCCACUCCUUUAUGGAGUUAAGACCCCUGAGAGAUGAUCAGGUAGAUAGGAUGGAAGUGGAAGUGCGGCGACGCAUGGAGCGGACCAUUACUAAUCGGUCGAGGACUUAACCG
rnacentral:rRNA from 1 species